CGCACAUUGCGCCCUUUGGUAUUCCGAAGGGCAUGCCUGUUCGAGCGUCAUUAUCACCCCUCAAGCCCCCGGCUUGGUGUUGGACGGUUUGGUGGAGGCCCCCUCGCGGGGCCACCGCCCCUCCCAAAGACAAUGACGGCGGCCUCGUUGGACCCCCGGUACACUGAGUUCUUCACGGGACACGUAUCGGACACAUGGGUUUACGGGACACGGUCUGCCUCCCCUCAGGGAGAAUCUUUCUAAGGUUGACCUCGGAUCAGGUAGGGAUACCCGCUGAACUUAA
rnacentral:misc_RNA from 1 species